rnacentral:rRNA from 1 species
UGGGGAAUUUUGGACAAUGGGGGAAACCCUGAUCCAGCCAUCCCGCGUGUGCGAUGAAGGCCUUCGGGUUGUAAAGCACUUUUGACAGGAAAGAAACGUCAUGGGUUAAUACCCCGUGAAACUGACGGUACCUGCAGAAUAAGCACCGGCUAACUACGUGCCAGCAGCCGCGGUAAUACGUAGGGUGCAAGCGUUAAUCGGAAUUACUGGGCGUAAAGCGUGCGCAGGCGGUUCGGAAAGAAAGAUGUGAAAUCCCAGAGCUCAACUUUGGAACUGCAUUUAUAACUACCGGGCUAGAGUGUGUCAGAGGGAGGUGGAAUUCCGCGUGUAGCAGUGAAAUGCGUAGAUAUGCGGAGGAACACCGAUGGCGAAGGCAGCCUCCUGGGAUAAAACUGACGCUCAUGCACGAAAGCGUGGGGAGCAAACAGG